AAAAAUUUAAACAAAUAAUAUUAUCUACACUAGGGGAAGGGGUGGUUUAGUCUCAUAAUGAGCUAGCAAUAAUAUGGUUCAAACUCACAUUUGGUGAGAAUCGAAUCUAAGAUCUCUUACUUAUAAUUGAAGAUGAAUACCACUAUAUCGUAGUACUAAGUGGCUCAAAACUUUUAAUUAACAAAAAAAAUCAUCUAUUAACUUUAUUUAAUAAAAAAGAGCUUAAACUUUGGUAACAAUAGUUCAAAUUUUAACGAAAAUAACAAAAGUUUUACAUAAUAAUGAAAAUAAAAAAUAAUAAAAAAUAAAAAACCAACAAAUACUGAUGUGUGAGACCACGCAUCACAUCACACAUAUACACACAGUCUCCCUCACUUAACCAUUCAACCUUUUUUUUUUCUCUCUCUCUCUCCCUCUUUCACAUAUUCCCAUCAAUUUUUUGCUUUCCUUUCACCUCAUCCAUUCACAUCAACUUUUUUUCAUUUUCUUUUCACCUCUCCUCACCCUUCUCUCUCUUUUCACCUCACUCCAUAAACAAUUUAUUUUAUUUGUUUAUUUGACUAUUCUUUCAAUUUUUUUAGAAUCAAUUAAAUAAUAAUAUUACAAGAUCAAAAAUAAAGGAAAUUCAUUAUUUAGUUUUAUGAACACUAAUACUGUCACUGUUUCUUAAACAUAACAUUGACUGCUUCUUAAAUUUGAACACUAUUUCUUAAACUGAACAUUGACUACUUCUUACACCGAACAUUAUUUCUUAAACUGAACAUUGACUACUUCUUAAACUAAACACUAACUAUUUCUUAAAAGAAACACUAAUAUUAUCACUACUUCUUAAACUGAAUACUGACUAUUUCGUAAACUGAACACUAACUAUUUCUUAAACUGAACGCUAGUACUAUUACUAUUUCAUAAACUAAACACUGACUAUUUUUUAAAUCGAACACCUUGUAAACUAAACACUGAUUAUUUCUUAAAUCUAACACUAGUACUAUCACUAUUUCGUAAACUAAAUAUAUUAAACCAAGUAAUAGUACUAUCACUAUUUCGUAAACUAAGCACUAACUAUUUCUUAAACCAAACACUAGUAUUAUCACUAUUUUGUAAACUAGUACUGUCAUUAUUUCGUUAACUAAACAUUGAUUAUUUCUUAAAAUCGAACACUAGCACUAUCAUUGUUUUUUUAAACUGAACACCGACUAUUUUAUAAAUUGAACACUAAAAGGUUCAAAAUUUGAAACUCUCUUCUCAUUAUCAUAUGAAUCACUGACAAUAAUAUUUAUAUUCUAAAAGAGUUAGAAUAAUGACUUUCUGUUUGGACCCGAUUUUACACUAUCGGCUCGUGCAAUCAAGGCCGUUGAUGAACAUAGCUCGCAAUUGUUGGAUGGCAAAAUAGUUAAGAUAAUUAUUAUUGAAGGAUAUAUUGUGGUUUUAAUCAUGAUAUUAUCUUUUGAUGGUGAAUUAUCUUGAUACUUUCUUGUACAAGAUAAAUGAGAUGCAAACUAUAUCUCAAGCUUUGAGACUCUUAUCUGGUUAAACAACAAUUUGCAUGCAAAUUAAAUAUUUGUCAGAUAAGAGAACAAAGAGGUACAGAUGAGAUUAAAUGGGUGUUUGACUAAUGACGUGCAAGAGUUGGAUGGCAUAUGCUUUUGUCUUACCAUGAAGUCUGUCAAAUGAUAAGUUUGAUGGAAGAUGGUCUUUAAAGUAUCAGAUUAUAUUACGACUAAAUGUAAUUUAUUAUGCAUGCAUGGUUGUACCUGGACCAACAUGGUGGAAAAAGAGAAGCUUUAGUUGGAAUAUGAUGCAUUCGUUUGGUCAGGCCAUGCAUGUGGAAAAGAUAUCUUUAUCUUUUCAAGGAAAAUUGGGGGAUAUUGGAUGGCUAAGGCGGUUCCACACAAUCUAAUGGUUCAGAGUCAACAUAGCAGGUGAUAUUCUACCAAGUUAGAGAGGCGAUUGGACUAUACAAAGUUAUCAGGCCGGGCUAAGCAAAAUACAACCAUUAUAAAUACAGAGUCGUAGACAACAUUAAGGCGCCCCUCCAAUUCAACACAAUAACUGCCUUGCGCAAACUCUUGCUCUACGCGAAACUUUUCCACAUCCUUGAGAUUUUUAUUUUCUUUUCGCCAACACAUCUUCAGUUUGGAUAAACAACAUUGUGAAAGCAACCGGUGACAUCUUCAAUUUGGAUAAACAACAUUGUUGUCGUAAAAUCAGUCGAUCGUGGAGCACCUUCAAUUUGGAUAAACAGCAUUGCGUCUCGACCGACUGAUUACCUACCUAAGUCUUGAUCGAUGAGGGUUUUCGAAUCCUUGUUGGUAUAGGUCAUUUCAUUAGCCUUCUUGGCGAAACAGGGUGUUACAAAUUACUAGGCUUGGCAUUUUGAACGCCGAGUUGUUUUAUGAUUGGAUACUCAUAAGUGGGAUUUAGAUUUUGACAUUCUGACGGUCGAACUAUAUUUACUAUUAAGACGCACAUUUGCUUUAAGUACUUAUGCCCAUAUAGUUUAGUGUUGAUUUGGCAUGCUUAUACUCUUAGGAAUAUAAUCAUUAUGAUCGAAUCUGGCGCCGACGAUUUAUGAACUUCACAAAACUAGUAACCUUGUCUUCAGGCUCUAGAACCCGAAAGCCAAGACGUGUUCCUUCCUCAGCCACAGUUGCAAGAUCAAGAAGUCAGCAGUACGCCCAACUCCCCGGCCGAGCUCAGUCGACAAGUUGGCACGCCCCGCACACAAUCGAAUAACAUAGUUAGCUUAUUAAUUGCUUGGCUUGCGCGCCACAUAGACUUGGUAGUUUUAGGGUCAACACUUUCACAUUCAUAUUUGUUCUUUGACAUUUCUUCGAACAAUUUAUUUGACUUUCCUUUAAUUUAUUCAAUACAAAAUUAACAACAAAAGCAUAAAUGAAAGAUCAUAAAAGCUAAUGUGCUUUCAUUGAGGAUCAUAAUCUAAUAUUUUUUAUUUUAAAGUUUUAGCUGGUUAGAAUUAAAAUUAAUAAAUAAUUCCAUAAUUUGAACAUGGGGUGAUGAUAAGAUGCUACCCCACGUGUAAGGCUAAGCAAAUCUCUCUCUCUCUCUCUCUCUCUCUCUCUCUCUAAUUUUUUUUAGAGUUUGUUGAUGUUAGUUGAAUGGAUUUGGUUGUCAUUCUCUUCUUUCUACCCUCAUAGUCUCACUCUCUGAACUUUUUCAUUCCCGAUGAAAUAUUUAAAAAGUAAUUUAUGUGUUGCUUUUGCAUUGUUGGUUUUAUGUUGAAUUGGUAGAUGUUUGCUUUCGCACUGCUCGCGUGCACACGCACUUUGGGUUGAAUAAGUUUUUUUUAUUUUUUGUUUUUUAUCUCUUGUCCUUGUUGGAAAUGUGCCCUAAAGCCAAUCAUGUGAUGAUACUUUACGGACAUUUCACAUGUUAAACUA
rnacentral:lncRNA from 1 species